GGGAAAAAUCGGAGAAAUUGUGAGGAAAACUGCAUCGUUGAACUUUCAUAUCUUCAGAUUUUGACGUCGAUUUCCCGUGCAUCCACCGUCUGGUUGUGCAGUUUCCUGUUUUGUCAUAAAUAUUGCACCCCUAAGAACAAUUGAAAAAGCAUUUUCCCGCUAGAUGUAGAUAGCUCAGUCGCCCGAUGGAUUUCGAAACGCAACAUCGUCCGAUCGCUGCAUACGCCUGAAAAUCAAUACAAUAUCGGUCCAAGAAGUCGUCUUCCUCGUCGUCUUCGUCUUCCAGGCAAUCUCGAUUCAUGAACUCAUAUUUACCGGUGAGAACGGAUGAUAAAAGUUUUAAUCCAACUCCAGCAGGCCUCUUC